GAGUGUGCCUUAGAACACAGGUGUAUUUUGGUCUACUCCUGUUUUGGACCCAAAAUAUGCUUGUGUUCUCAGGUCACCCCU